AGAGUUUGAUCCUGGCUCAGGACCAACGCUGGCGGCGUGCCUAACACAUGCAAGUCGAACGGAAAGGCUUCUUAAGCUUGCUUAAGAAGUACUCGAGUGGCGAACGGGUGAGUAAUACGUAAAUAAUCUACCUUCUUGACGGGGACAACCCAGGGAAACUUGGGCUAAUACCCGAUACGAUCCUUGAACUGUAUGGUUUAAGGUUGAAAGUAAUUAGAUUAGCAGGAUGAUGAGUUUACGCCUGACUAGCUAGUUGGUAAGGUAAAGGCUUACCAAGGCGAUGAUCAGUAGCUGGUCUGAGAGGAUGAACAGCCACACUGGGACUAAGACACGGCCCAGACUCCUACGGGAGGCAGCAGUGAGGAAUUUUGCUCAAUGGGCGCAAGCCUGAAGCAGCGACGCCGCGUGAAUGAUGACGUCUUUCGGGAUGUAAAGUUCUGUCAGCAGGGAAAAUUAUGAUGGUACCUGCAGAGGAAGGACCGGCAAACUAUGUGCCAGCAGCCGCGGUAAUACAUAGGGUCCAAGCGUUGUCCGGAUUUACUGGGCGUAAAGAGCGUGUAGGCGGUAAAAUAAGUCAAACUUUAAAGACUCUUGGCUCAACCAGAGUUCGGGUUUGAUACUGUUUUACUAGAGAUUGGGAGAGGAAAGUGGAACUAACAGUGUAGCGGUGAAAUGCGUAGAUAUUGUUAGGAACGCCCAUGGCGAAGGCAGCUUUCUGGACCAAAUCUGACGCUGAGACGCGAAAGCGUGGGGAUCAAACAGGAUUAGAUACCCUGGUAGUCCACGCUGUAGACAAUGUACAUUAGGUAUAGAGGGUAUCGACCCCUUCUGUGCCGAAGCUAACGCGUUAAAUGUACCGCCUGGGGAGUACGAUCGCAAGAUUAAAACUCAAAGGAAUUGACGGGGGCCCGCACAAGCAGUGGAUCAUGUGGUUUAAUUCGACGAUACGCGAAGAACCUUACCAAAACUUGACAUCCGCCUGAUUUCCGUGGAAGCACGGAAUGACCCGCAAGGGAGGGCGAGACAGGUGGUGCAUGGUUGUCGUCAGUUCGUGUCGUGAGAUGUUAGGUUAAGUCCUGUAACGAGCGCAACCCUCGUGCUGUGUUGCUACAUUAAGUUGAGCACUCUCAGCAGACUGCCCGUGGUAAACGGGAGGAAGGCGGGGAUGACGUCAAAUCAUCAUGCCCCUUAUGUUUUGGGCUACACACAUGAUACAAUGGCCAGUCCAAAGGGAUGCGAACCUGCAAAGGGGAGCUAAUCUCAAAAAGCUGGUCUCAGUUCGGAUUGGAGGCUGCAACUCGCCUUCAUGAAGUCGGAAUUGCUAGUAAACACAGAUCAGCACGCUGUGUUGAAUACGUUCCCGGGCCUUGUACACACCGCCCGUCACACCAUGAAAGCCAGAAAUAUCCGAAGUCAGCAAGCCAACCGCAAGGAGGCAGUUGCCUAAGAUAGCGCUGGUGAUUGGGGUGAAGUCGUAACAAGGUA
rnacentral:rRNA from 1 species